GGUGAGCUACCCCGAGACAGCCUAUAUUAAUUUAGGGCUAACCCGUCUCUGUGGCAAAAGAGUGGAAAGAGCUCCGGGUAGAAGUGAAAGACCUACCGAACCUGGUGAUAGCUGGUUGACUGAGAAAUGGAUAGAAGUUCAGCCUCGCACACCCCAAACCAAAAAAUAUUAUCACCAAGAUAUUAAGGGAAACGUACGAGAGUUAGUUAAAAGGGGUACAGCCCUUUUAACAAAGGAUACAACCUUUACAGGAGGAUAAAGAUCAUAAUGUAUAAGAUAUACUGUUCUAGUGGGCCUGAAAGCAGCCACCUAAACAGAAAGCGUUAAAGCUCGGACAGAAGGAAGUUUAUUAUACUGAUAAAAAAUCUUAUUCCCCUAGCUAUAUCAGACCAACCCAUGCCUCCAUGGAAGAGAUUAUGCUAAAAUGAGUAAUAAGAAGACCCGCUCUUCUCCCAGCACAAGUGUAAACCAGAUCGGACUGACCACUGGAACUUAACGAACCCAACCCCAGAGGGUAGUGUGAUUAACAAAGAACUCAAGAAGACCUCACAUAACUAAUCGUUAACCCCACACUGGAGUGCUAUUUUAAGGGAAAGACUAAAAGAAGGGGAAGGAACUCGGCAAACACAAGCCUCGCCUGUUUACCAAAAACAUCGCCUCCUGCAACUAAACUGAGUAUAGGAGGUCCAGCCUGCCCAGUGACUACGGGUUCAACGGCCGCGGUAUCUUGACCGUGCAAAGGUAGCGCAAUCACUUGUCUCUUAAAUAGAGACCUGUAUGAAUGGCUAGACGAGGGCUUAACUGUCUCCCCCUUCCAGUCAGUGAAAUUGAUCUAUCCGUGCAGAAGCGGGUAUAAAUAUACAAGACGAGAAGACCCUUUGGAGCUUAAGGUACAAAAUUCAGCCACGUUAAACAACUCUAUAAGAAGCAAGAACUUAGUGAUAAUGAAAUUUUACCUUCGGUUGGGGCGACCGCGGAGGAAAAACAAGCCUCCGAGUGGACUGGGCCGAAUCCCUGAAGCCAAUAGAGACAUCUAUAAGCCGCAGAACAUCUGACCAAAAAUGAUCCGGCUAAAAGCCGAUCAACGAACCAAGUUACCCAAGGGAUAACAGCGCAAUCCCCUCCCAGAGCCCAUAUCUACGAGGGGGUUUACGACCUCGAUGUUGGAUCAGGACAUCCUAAUGGUGC
rnacentral:rRNA from 1 species